rnacentral:sRNA from 1 species
AGUGUCUGGAUUUAUUGUCAGCAGAUGACAUGGAUCCCUAAGUGGACCAGUCCUUGGCUGGCCUUUCCUUCAGUUUCUGCUCCAUUCUUUCCCCCGGCAUUUCUUAUGACAGGAGGAAUUCUAGAUUAGUAGUUUGAGGUGGGUGUGUUGUCCCUCCCUCAACUAGGGGCCAUGUCUAUCCACUGGAUGUAGUCUCUUCAGGUUCUAUCUCCCCUUUGUUAGGUAUUUUGGCUAAAGUCUUUCCCUUUGGGCCCUGGGACUCUCGAGUGGCUACCCUCACUUCUCCUUACCCCACUGCUACACACCUUUCAAAUUAUUGACCCUCUGUACUUCUUUCCCAUCUUCUCCUAUAUCUAAACUGGUCCCCUUUUUGCUCCUCCUCCUCUCUCUCUUCCAGAAUCCUUUGGAUCUCUGCUUGUCAGAGAUUAUUCUCUUCCUCCUACUGGUUAGUACUGUAGCAUUUACACUUUGGUGUGAUCGUCUUUCUUCUUGGGUUUCAUAGGGUCUGUGAGUUGUAUCAUGGGCAUUUAAUCAUACCUCUCUCGUUGGUUGGUUUUAAUCAUAUCACAUCUUCAAUUUCCUAGGCAUUUUGUCACUAUUUGGCAUGAGCUCCCUUUCCUGGCAUGUGCCUCAAAUUAGAUCAGUCGUUAGUUGGCCACUCCCACAAGUUCUGCUUCUGCAUUGUGUCAGCACAUCUUGCAGUUAAGAUACAAAGUAGGACUCAAAUUUUGUGGAUGGAUUGGUGUCCCAGUCCAACCACCAGAAGCCUUGCUUGUUUACAGUCAAUGGCAUGCCCAGCCUUCAAAUUCUUCUUACCAGGCCUCCUAAUUGAUUCCUGGAAGUUUCUACUGCACUAGGUUUUUAUAUGGCCACUCAAAAUGCCUUUCAAUGACCUCAUACUCUCCUUUCAUUCUUCCCCAAUCACCUGAUCUCUUCUGUCCCCAUCCCUACCCACCCCAAAGAACAUUCCCCAAAAAUCUGUUCUAUUUCUUCUUUCUAAGGAAACCCAUGUGUCUCCCUUAGAGUCUUUCUUGCUAUAUAGCCUUUCUGGGUCUGUAGACGUAGCAUGAGUGUCAAUUACUUAUCAGUUAAAAUGAUCAAUGGGGGAAACUCAAAUGGCUGAGGAGCACACAAAGAGACGUUCAACAUCCUUGGCCGACAGGGAGAUACAAAUCAGUACUACUUUGAGAUUCCAUCUUAACAACUCUCAGGAUGGCUGAGGUUUCACCAUUAUCAAACUCUUGUGCAUUUGAUGCUUGCCUAUGGCGAGGCAGUGGCCCCUACUUGUUUAAGAUGGAGAAACAUCAGGACUACAUUAAGGAAGGAAUGUUUUAUUUAAAGCCUCCGUUGGUAACACACUACCCUAUUUCCCCUUACAAUUUGCUCACUCUAAUUGUUAAAACAUUUCCUGCUAUUUCUGAGCUGUGGAGACCACAAAAAUGUACAGAUGAUGCUCGACCAGGUCUACAUAGAGGAGCAAGUUUGUCUUUCAUCUGUCUUUUAAAAGUGUUUGAGACACUUCUUGGAUUACUUGUUCCUCUUUUACUACUACUUGUUAUUUAGAACUAACCUCCUUAAUGAUACAGGUUUUUAACUGAGUAGUUAGUGAGUCCUCAACGUUCGGAAAGUUUCGAGUGAAAUUCAGCAAGACAGAACACAGACAAGCAAACCCACCAGUAGAUGUAUAGGAAGAAAUGUAGCUGCAAAACUGAUUGCAGUGUGAACUGGGGAUUGUUGGACUCUAUUCCCUGAUUUAUAGUUCUAUUUUAAAGAAUGUAAAAUGCUAUCUCACUUUUAAAAUUUGGGGUAUCUGUUGUAAUUUAAUUUUCAAGGUGAAUUACAAACAAGGAGAAAUUCUUUUAUCAGAUAUUUAGAAACUAAUGGCAUUCUCGAUUAUUUGACAAAACUUUUAAGUACCUAAAUAACAUUAUUAAUCUUAACAGAAUCCAGUUCCAUUUCAGGCAUAAGAUUCUACUUCCGGAGAACAAUUACAUGUGUUAAGAUUUAACUAAAUUUUCCUACUGCCCUGCGUUCUCAAUUUUCUCUGUAUAUCUCAUAUCUCUCAGAGCUCCCAACAUGAGAAAUGAGAAAUGAAAGUAAAUCAAUACCCAGAUGUGUCAAACAUAUUUUAAUCAAGUUUCUCUGUGAAAGAAGACAAUUGUUUUGUGAAGCAUUCCGAACAUAAUAGACUUUAUGAUGGCAUGAAGGAUGAGCUCUGGGGUCCUAUUCAUGUUUGACAUUCUAUAAAGGGCUGAGAAAACACUUUUUGAAGGAAGAUCAACAAGAUAAAAAAGGUCUCAGUUUGCAGAUUUCUGAUUGUAGUGAAAGAACUUUGACACUCCAGACUGAAGGGCUCUGGGUUCCAACUGAAAGAUGAUCAGAUGUGUAAGUUUUGAUCAUUUCUAAUUCGCAUCAGGACAAGAGAUUGUCAAGCACUCUAAUAUGCUCAAUUAGAAACAAAAGAGAGAGCAAAUGCUUAUCGUUUUUCAUAAUCCCUCAUAAAUGGGAAGGGGAACAUACUUGAGCCAUUUUUAAUCAAUGAAAAGACUGUUCUUUCAAUGACUUUGUUGUGAUUCUUAGCCCUGAAGGACCACAGCCAAUACUGUAGUGACUACUGCUUUUCUAGUCAUAAAAUACCUAUGAGAACUCCAGAUGUUGCCUAUGAGGCCAGUUGUUAAUGGGGCAAGUGAGGAUUCAUUCCACACCCAUUUGGUACUUUGGUCCUGAAAUGUGAACUAGUCUGUAGUCUAUAUCCCACCCACAUGCCAGAAUGCACCUGCAAAAGUCUUCAAUUUGAGAACUUUUAAAUCAGAAACAGACACCGUGA